AUUGAACGCUGGCGGCAGGCCUAACACAUGCAAGUCGAGCGAGCGGCGGACGGUGGCGUACUGUAUGGGGACUGCCCGAUAGAUGGGGAUAACUACUGGAAACGGUAUCUAAUACCGCAUACUAUCGGAUAACCCAUAUGGGAUUAGCUAGUAGGUGGGGUAAUGGCUCACCUAGGCGACGAUCCCUAGCUGGUCUGAGAGGAUGAUCAGCCACACUGGGACUGAGACACGGCCCAGACUCCUACGGAGGCAGCAGUGGGGAAUAUUGGACAAUGGGCGCAAGCCUGAUGGAGCCAUGCCGCGUGUAUGAAGAAGGCCCUAGGGUUGUAAAGCACUGUUAGUCGGGAGGCGUUAUCGACAGAAGAAGCACCGGCUAACUCCGUGCCAGCAGCCGCGGUAAUAC
rnacentral:rRNA from 1 species